GACGAACGCUGGCGGCGUGCUUAACACAUGCAAGUCGAACGGAAAGGCCCUGCUUUUGUGGGGUGCUCGAGUGGCGAACGGGUGAGUAACACGUGAGUAACCUGCCCUUGACUUUGGGAUAACUUCAGGGAACUGGGGCUAAUACCGGAUAGGAGAUCCUGCUGCAUGGUGGGGGUUGGAAAGUUUCGGCGGUUGGGGAUGGACUCGCGGCUUAUCAGCUUGUUGGUGGGGUAGUGGCUUACCAAGGCUUUGACGGGUAGCCGGCCUGAGCGGGGGACCGGCCACAUUGGGACUGAGAUACGGCCCAGACUCCUACGGGAGGCAGCAGUGGGGAAUAUUGCACAGUGGGCGGAAGCCUGAUGCAGCAACGCCGCGUGCGGGAUGACGGCCUUCGAGUUGUAAACCGCUGUCGCCUGUGACGAAGCGUUAGUGACGGUAAUGGGUAAAGAAGCACCGGCUAACUACGUG
rnacentral:rRNA from 1 species